ensembl:lncRNA
UCUGUUGGAUAAAGAAAAGUCUUGCGGAGUCCGAAUAUUUUUCAUGAGGGAUUCACAAAUACCUUGUGUCUUCAUCAAAAAUGACAUUUCAGCAUAAUGUAGUACAAACAACUAUCUACCAGCAGGCAGAAGCCAGCCUCCUUCUCUGCUCAGUGCAGCUGCAGAGUCAUCAGAAUACACACGGAAACACAGGCAUUCUUUCAUUCACCGAAACCGCUCAGGGAUCCCGCGGAGGGUUACACCCUCACACACCUUCCAGACUGGAACACAUUUAGGAAGAGUCAUUUAAGACAGGGCUAUUUGGAACAAAAGAACAUUAAUUAAGUUCCUGUGGCUCCUCUGGUGUGUAGCUUUGUCUGGUCCCCCUCUCCUCUCCUCUCUCUCUCUAUUUCAGUUUCUCCUUUUGUAGCCUUCCAACUAGUUGGUGUUCCUCCUGCUACAGUGAACAGUCCCCCGUUCACUGGCGCCUUGGGGAUUAGAAUAGUUCUGAAGACGAGAGAGAGGGUGUUUCAUUCCCAAGGGGAAAUAGAGCUCUCUAUCUCCACAUUCUACACCUCCCCUACAUGCCUUCCUGGGAGAAAGAGAUCAUUGUUCCUCCACCGACUCCAGAAGUAGCAGAAGGUCCUCACCCCCUCACACUCCAGGCCCUCCAAGUCGGGCUGCGUUGAACCCUUUAUGUUGGCCACCGCACCAUGUCUAAUGGCCCCUGCUGAGACGAGCGUCCUGCUCCCUCCUGCUCCCUCCUGCUCCCUCCUGCUCCCUCCUGCUCCCUCCUGCUCCCAGGACCACUUGUCAUCAAGAGGAUUGCGGCUAAAUAAAAACCAUAGAAACUGGGACUUGAAAUAUUGGGGUGCAGCCUCCCCCAAAAGCCCCCAAAACCUUGAACCCGCAUCUGUUGCUUGCUGUUGUCAUGUACAUGAAAGUUGAUCACACAAGGGAUAAGAUGUGUUGCCCUCAGCUCCUCUGUGCUGAUAAAACCUGUGUUUCCAC